GCCAGUUGUGUUAUGCUCACAUUCGCAAAGUAGUCUUUUGUUUUCUUCUUUACAGCCAGUAGCGUGAAGGUUGCACUUACACCUUCCAUAUACCCUUAUGUCUGAGAUGGCAUAAAAGUACCGUGCCAGGUGUUGCUCAUCUACAUAUAUUUCUCCAGUUGCUGGUCUAAGCAAUCUUAUCCUCAGAUCUGUGAUGGUAAAGAAAUCUCUCAACUUCUUGGUUGUGUCAAGCUGGCCAUAAA
rnacentral:lncRNA from 1 species